rnacentral:rRNA from 1 species
GACGAACGCUGGCGGCGUGCCUAAUACAUGCAAGUCGAGCGGACUUGAUGAAGUGCUUGCACUUCUGAUGGUCAGCGGCGGACGGGUGAGUAACACGUAGGUAACCUGCCUAUAAGACUGGGAUAACAUUCAGAAACGAAUGCUAAUACCGGAUACGCGAAUUGGUCGCAUGGCCGAAUCGGGAAAGACGGAGCAAUCUGUCACUUAUAGAUGGAACUGCGGCGCAUUAGCUAGUUGGUGAGGUAACGGCUCACCAAGGCGACGAUGCGUAGCCGACCUGAGAGGGUGAUCGGCCACACUGGGACGGAGACACGGCCCAGACUCCUACGGGAGGCAGCAGUAGGGAAUCUUCCGCAAUGGACGAAAGUCUGACGGAGCAACGCCGCGUGAGUGAUGAAGGUUUUCGGAUCGUAAAGCUCUGUUGCCAGGGAAGAACGCUUGGGAGAGUAACUGCUCUCAAGGUGACGGUACCUGAGAAGAAAGCCCCGGCUAACUACGUGCCAGCAGCCGCCGUAA